rnacentral:misc_RNA from 1 species
GAUGAAGAACGUAGUGAAAUGCGAUAAGUAAUGUGAAUUGCAGAAUUCAGUGAAUCAUCGAAUCUUUGAACGCACAUUGCGCCCCCUGGUAUUCCGGGGGGCAUGCCUGUCCGAGCGUCAUUACAACCCUCAAGCUCAGCUUGGUAUUGGGCCCCGCCGCUCCGGCGGGCCCUAAAGUCAGUGGCGGUGCCGUCCGGCUCCGAGCGUAGUAAUUCUUCUCGCUCUGGAGGUCCGGUCGUGUGCUCGCCAGCAACCCCCAAUUUUUUUCAGGUUGACCUCGGAUCAGGUAGGGAUACCCGCUGAACUUAAGCAUAUCAUAAGCGGAGGA